GAUGAACGCUGGCGGCGUGCCUAAUACAUGCAAGUCGAGCGAACAGACGAGGAGCUUGCUCCUCUGACGUUAGCGGCGUACGGGUGAGUAACACGUGGAUCACCUACCUAUAAGACUGGGAUAACUUCGGGAAACCGGAUCUAAUACCGGAUAAUAUAUUGAACCGCAUUGUUCAAUAGUGAAAGACGGUUUUGCUGUCACUUAUAGAUGGAUCCUCGCCGCAUUAGCUAGUUGGUAAGGUAACGGCUUACCAAGGCAACGAUGCGUAGCCGACCUGAGAGGGUGAUCGGCCACACUGGAACUGAGACACGGUCCAGACUCCUACGGGAGGCAGCAGUAGGGAAUCUUCCGCAAUGGGCGAAAGCCUGACGGAGCAACGCCGCGUGAGUGAUGAAGGUCUUCGGAUCGUAAAACUCUGUUAUGAGGGAAGAACAAAUGUGUAAGUAACUAUGCACGUCUUGACGGUACCUAAUCAGAAAGCCAAGGCUAACUACGUG
rnacentral:rRNA from 1 species